rnacentral:rRNA from 1 species
GUGGGGAAUCUUGCGCAAUGCGCGAAAGCGUGACGCAGCAACGCCGCGUGGGGGAAGACGGCCUUCGGGUUGUAAACCCCUUUCAGGAGGGACGAAGGUUCGCCGGUGAAUAGCCGUGCGGAUUGACGGUACCUCCACAAGAAGCUCCGGCUAACUACGUGCCAGCAGCCGCGGUAAUACGUAGGGAGCAAGCGUUGUCCGGAAUCAUUGGGCGUAAAGCGCGCGUAGGUGGCCUCAUAAGUCCGUUGUGAAAGUCAAAGGCUCAACCUUUGAAAGCCGAUGGAUACUGUGAGACUAGAGUACGGAAGAGGCGAGUGGAAUUCCUGGUGUAGCGGUGGAAUGCGCAGAUAUCAGGAGGAACACCAAUAGCGAAGGCAGCUCGCUGGGACGUUACUGACACUGAGGCGCGAAAGCGUGGGGAGCGAACAGGAUUAGAAACCCCGGUAGUCC